AUCCCUGCCCGCAGCAACGGCUCCCGGCGGUGAGCAACGCAGAGGGCUGAGCGCACGCUUUGGUGCCGGCUGAAACGGCGGGACUGUGUGCCUGGCCCACCCCGCCCCUUCCCCGUUUUCCCGAGCCAGUGGAGACUGAGCCACAGAGAGGUGAUACCACAUGGUUAUAAGUGACACUAGGGGGAGUGGCACUCCUGCAGGCAGACUGCAGCACCUGGCCUUCAUUCAGCACUGGGCACCAUAACAUCACAUGAAAGAUGAGGAUACUGAACACCUGGCACAGAGGCAGCAGCGGGAAGAGCACUGAGCAGGCAGGCAGAUUCCUCUGUGUCCCUCUAUGACCUCUCUGGGCCUCAGACUCCCAUCUGUCCAGCCAGAAGCACAACUGGACUAUCUCGAAGAAUGCUUCCAGGUCUGAAUAAACAGAAGCAUGAGUCAGCAUCCUGUGAUAUCAUCCUGAGCAUCCUGUGGCCAGGAGGAAACGGAGACUCAGAGUUGAGCGACUCAUUCACAAUUUGCAGCAGGCAGUGCCAUACUGAUCUGUGAACCAGGACUGCUUGAUACCAACAUGCGCUCACAGGCUGGCUCCCGACAUCCCCUCUUCACACAGGGCACCUGUGGGUCACGUGCUCAAGUGGUGGAUGAAGACAACACAGGACACACAGCUAGGCACACCAGCACUGCUUCUUUGUCUCAAGGUAAAUAAAUACCCCCAUAUGUUAUGUAUAAUAAUAAUAACAAUAAUAAUAACCAAUAGCUAACAUUAAAGACCACUCACCAGGCCAUGCUGAGUUCUUUACAUGUAUUAACUCUUUAAUCCCAUGAGCCAUAUACAUUCAUUUUGCCCUUUAACAUGUGGAAGAGACUGAGCCACAGAGAAGUUAUGUCACGUGGCUGUAAGUGACACAGGUGGGACUGGCAUUCAUGCAGGCAGACGGCAGCAAUGUGCCUGCCCCCGCCCCCCGGGGCACCAUGCCAUCACAUGAAAGGUGAGGACAUUGAACACCUGGCACAGAGGGAACAGUGGAAGAGCACUGAGCAAGCAGUCAGCAUAGCUCUGUGACCUCUCUGGGAUUCAGUUUCCCAUGUGUCACGCCAGGAGCACAAUUGAUCCAUCUCAAAAGGUCCUUCUAACUCUGAAUACUGAGAGGCAGGACUUAGUAUCCAGUGCCAUCAUGAUUUGCCAGCCGUGGCCAGGGGGUACGUUCAGCUGUAGUGGAGGAUCAGACCUCUGGCCUCCCAGCUGUGUGACUUUAACCUCUCUGGAACCGGCACAGUCACUCUAGCCCCUGCAUGUCACUCUCUCACUGGCUCCUGUGCAGCUCAAAUGACACAAAGCAUGGGAAAGGCUUCUGAGUCUCUCCUAAUGCUGUGGCAGUGUCUUGUCCCAGGGAGCUCAUUGCAAGUCACCCAAACUCCCUUGGUACCAGAUCAGCAAAUUUCCAGUCCCUAUCCUUAACCUCCCACCCAAAGUAAUGCUUCCAAACCAGUGAGCAUUUCUCCAGGAGCUCGCUGGGAGCUUAAAGGAUUCCCUCUCCCGACAGCCAGUGGGGACAUAAUGAUUGUCAUGGCCAUUGCUUAUUAAGCCAGGAGCCAGGACACUGUCCUUUAAUCCCCACAUAGAGAUAUACUCUCCUUUUCACAAAUGGACGCAGGUUCAA